GGGGCUGUAGUAUAGUUUGGUAGUACGUGAGGUUUGGGACUUCAUAACCCCAGUUCAAAUCUGGGCAGCCCCA
rnacentral:tRNA from 1 species